GCACUAGGAUGAUGUAUAGCUUCGGCUUAUUAAACUUGGCUAUUUAAUAUGCUCUAUUAAAAUUAUAUUUUAAUAUAGUUUAUUAUUUAGGAUGUCAGUAAUAUAAUUCUGACAUCAUAUUAUUAUAUAGCCUUUAGAGAAAUUUUUCUAAGGGAUUGAGAUAAUUUAUUCUCGUAAACAAGUAUUUUAUCGAUUUUAUCGAUUAAAGUUCUAGAUAGUGUUAAAUGAUUAUGACAAUACACAUAUCUAUAAGUCUUGACCAAAUUACGUGCCAGCAGUCGCGGUAAUACGUAGAAGACUAGUGUUAUUCAUCUUUAAUAGGUUUAAAGGGUACCUAAACGGUAUAAUUAGUCUUAAAUAAGAUACAAUUAUACUAGAGUUAUAUAUGAGAAGGGGAGUAUUUAUGGAGUCAAAGUUGAAAUUUUUUUAUACCAUAAGGACUGGUAACGGCGAAAGCAACCUUUUAUCUAUUAACUGACGUUGAGGGACGAAGGCUCGGGUAACAAACAGGAUUAGAUACCCUAGUAGUCCAAGCAGAUAAUGAUGAAUGCCAUAGACUAGAUAUUUAUUUAGUCUAUAAAUGAAAGUGUAAGCAUUUCACCUCAAGAGUAAUGUGGCAACGCAGGAACUGAAAUCAUUAGACCGUAUUUGAAACCAGUAGUGAAGUAUGUUAUUUAAUUCGUAGGUACGCGAAAAACCUUACCACAACUUGAAUAUUAUCUUAGUAAGAUAUUACAAGUGUUGCACGGCUGUCUUCAGUUAAUGUCGUGAGAUAUUGGUUUAUUCCAUUAAAUUAACGGAAACCCUCGCUUUAUUUAUAUAAUAUUUAAUAAAGCUGUUUGCAGUUACAUUGUUUUUAAUAACAGGGGCUAAGACA
rnacentral:rRNA from 1 species